rnacentral:rRNA from 1 species
AAAGGCGCGCGAUACAGGGUGACAGCCCCGUACACAAAAAUGCACAUAUUGUGAGCUCGAUGAGUAGGGCGGGACACGUGGUAUCCUGUCUGAAUAUGGGGGGACCAUCCUCCAAGGCUAAAUACUCCUGACUGACCGAUAGUGAACCAGUACCGUGAGGGAAAGGCGAAAAGAACCCCGGCGAGGGGAGUGAAAAAGAACCUGAAACCGUGUACGUACAAGCAGUGGGAGCCUCUUAAUGGGGUGACUGCGUACCUUUUGUAUAAUGGGUCAGCGACUUAUAUUCUGUAGCAAGGUUAACCGAAUAGGGGAGCCGAAGGGAAACCGAGUCUUAACUGGGCGUUAAGUUGCAGGGUAUAGACCCGAAACCCGGUGAUCUAGCCAUGGGCAGGUUGAAGGUUGGGUAACACUAACUGGAGGACCGAACCGACUAAUGUUGAAAAAUUAGCGGAUGACUUGUGGCUGGGGGUGAAAGGCCAAUCAAACCGGGAGAUAGCUGGUUCUCCCCGAAAGCUAUUUAGGUAGCGCCUCGUGAAUUCAUCUCCGGGGGUAGAGCACUGUUUCGGCAAGGGGGUCAUCCCGACUUACCAACCCGAUGCAAACUGCGAAUACCGGAGAAUGUUAUCACGGGAGACACACGGCGGGUGCUAACGUCCGUCGUGAAGAGGGAAACAACCCAGACCGCCAGCUAAGGUCCCAAAGUCAUGGUUAAGUGGGAAACGAUGUGGGAAGGCCCAGACAGCCAGGAUGUUGGCUUAGAAGCAGCCAUCAUUUAAAGAAAGCGUAAUAGCUCACUGGUCGAGUCGGCCUGCGCGGAAGAUGUAACGGGGCUAAACCAUGCACCGAAGCUGCGGCAGCGACACUAUGUGUUGUUGGGUAGGGGAGCG